rnacentral:rRNA from 1 species
GAUACCCUGGUAGUCCACGCUGUAAACGAUGUCGACUUGGAGGUUGUUCCCUUGAGGAGUGGCUUCCGGAGCUAACGCGUUAAGUCGACCGCCUGGGGAGUACGGCCGCAAGGUUAAAACUCAAAUGAAUUGACGGGGGCCCGCACAAGCGGUGGAGCAUGUGGUUUAAUUCGAUGCAACGCGAAGAACCUUACCUACUCUUGACAUCCAGAGAACUUAGCAGAGAUGCUUUGGUGCCUUCGGGAACUCUGAGACAGGUGCUGCAUGGCUGUCGUCAGCUCGUGUUGUGAAAUGUUGGGUUAAGUCCCGCAACGAGCGCAACCCUUAUCCUUUGUUGCCAGCGGUUCGGCCGGGAACUCAAAGGAGACUGCCAGUGAUAAACUGGAGGAAGGUGGGGAUGACGUCAAGUCAUCAUGGCCCUUACGAGUAGGGCUACACACGUGCUACAAUGGCAUAUACAAAGAGAAGCGACCUCGCGAGAGCAAGCGGACCUCAUAAAGUAUGUCGUAGUCCGGAUUGGAGUCUGCAACUCGACUCCAUGAAGUCGGAAUCGCUAGUAAUCGUGGAUCAGAAUGCCACGGUGAAUACGUUCCCGGGCCUUGUACACACCGCCCGUCACACCAUGGGAGUGGGUUGCAAAAGAAGUAGGUAGCUUAACC